UACGUAGGUGGCGAGCGUUGUCCGGAAUUACUGGGUGUAAAGGGCGUGUAGGCGGGACUGCAAGUCAGAUGUGAAAUACCGGGGCUCAACCCCGGGGCUGCAUUUGAAACUGUAGUUCUUGAGUGCAGGAGAGGAAAGCGGAAUUCCUAGUGUAGCGGUGAAAUGCGUAGAUAUUAGGAGGAACACCAGUGGCGAAGGCGGCUUUCUGGACUGUAACUGACGCUGAGGCGCGAAAGCGUGGGGAGCGAACAGG
rnacentral:rRNA from 2 species